AUUGAACGCUGGCGGCAUGCCUAACACAUGCAAGUCGAACGGCAGCACAGCAGUAGCAAUACUGUGGGUGGCGAGUGGCGGACGGGUGAGGAAUACGUCGGAAUCUGCCCAGUCGUGGGGGAUAACUAGCCGAAAGGUUAGCUAAUACCGCAUACGACCGAGAGGUGAAAGCGGGGGACCGCAAGGCCUCGCGCGAUUGGAUGAGCCGACGUCGGAUUAGCUAGUUGGCGGGGUAAAGGCCACCAAGGCGACGAUCCGUAGCUGGUCUGAGAGGAUGAUCAGCCACACUGGAACUGAGACACGGUCCAGACUCCUACGGGAGGCAGCAGUGGGGAAUAUUGGACAAUGGACGCAAGCCUGAUCCAGCAAUGCCGCGUGUGUGAAGAAGGCC
rnacentral:rRNA from 1 species